GAUGAACGCUGGCGGCGUGCCUAAUACAUGCAAGUCGAGCGAACAGACGAGAGUGCUUGCACUCUCUGACGUUAGCGGCGGACGGGUGAGUAACACGUGGGUAACCUACCUAUAAGACUGGGAUAACUUCGGGAAACCGGAGCUAAUACCGGAUAAUAUUUAGCUUCGCAUGAAGCAAUAGUGAAAGACGGUUCUGCUGUCACUUCUAGAUGGACCCGCGGUGUAUUAGCUAGUUGGUGAGGUAACGGCUCACCAAGGCAACGAUACAUAGCCGACCUGAGAGGGUGAUCGGCCACACUGGGACUGAGACACGGCCCAGACUCCUACGGGAGGCAGCAGUAGGGAAUCUUCCGCAAUGGACGAAAGUCUGACGGAGCAAUGCCGCGUGAGUGAAGAAGGUUUUCGGAUCGUAAAACUCUGUUGUAAGGGAAGAACAAGUACGUUAGUAACUGAACGUACCUUGACGGUACCUUACCAGAAAGCCACGGCUAACUACGUG
rnacentral:rRNA from 1 species